GGCUGGUCCAGUGGUGUAGUGGCUAAGUUCGAGUGCUCGGCUUUGGUGGCUUGGGGUUCACAGCAUCAAGCAGGAUGACCAACUCGGUGAACUUGAUAUUCGGCAUUGUUGGGAGCAGCUAUCCAUAGCCCUCAGAAUACAAGUCAGGGCCACCAGGGGCGGCUGAGAUUAGACAGAAGCCAUGAAGGAGGAAGCGGUGAAGAGGUAUGAGGCCCAAGCAGCAGCGGAGUCCAGAAAGCAUCAACAAGCAUAAACUUCCUAAGGUAACAAUAUCUCCCGAAGAUCACCCCUUAGCAAUAAACACAGAUCUCGCUCCCUCCGUUUUCUAGCUGCGGAGGAGUUCAUCGCGUGGAUGCACCGUGGUUGAUCAACCUGUCACUUAUUGAUGGAUCUUUGGUUUGUUUUCAGUUUUUGCUGUUACAAAUAGAGCAACAGUUAAUAUUCUUGCAGACAUAUUUUUGUGUCUUUGCAAGCAUGUCUUUGGGCUCCCUCUUCUCUAUUAUCGCCAAGUGUUAAAAAGUACCUCCUCACACUUUCUGCUGGCUCUGCUUCUCCGCUUCACCGGACCUCCUGCCUCCUCUGCGCGUCGUGUUCCUGUUUUGUUCCGUUUGGAUAAUAUCCCAGCAGUUCUUUUUAACGCGGGGCUUCAUCUUGGAAGAGAUCUUGGGUAGACGAGUUUGGGAGUUCACGGGGUUGUCUCAGCACCGGCCAACCUCACGAGCCGCACGUAGCUGCACUUACCCACAAACUGGAGCCUCAGGGACCCUCCCAGUUUGGGUGCUGUCCUCGGGGUGGCCUGCUGACCCUCCUGAGAGUAUCCGUUGGCGAGUGUAGGGUCUCCAGCUUGCAGGGCCCUCAGCAGUCCCCCGCCUUUGCCCUGAUUUCCCCUGCACCGAAACUGAUACCAUGCAGGUCUUGCUGCUCUCAGUAAUUUGUCCCAUCUGCUUGCAUUUUGGCGUCCAUAGGAGCACCUGGCAUCGAGCUUUGCUGCUGAUGUCAUCAGUCAGUUCUUUGGCUUUUCUCACAACUUCACUGUUAAUUAGAAAAAAUGCAGAUUAAAGCUCAACCAAGAAUAUAUAGAAAGUCUUUGUAUAUUCUUACACAUUUUGUCAGUUUUAAAUUGUAUCAAAAUUAAAAGUUAC
ensembl:lncRNA